GUUUUUGCCUUCAGUGUAAAAACUUUAACAGGCAUCCAAUUAAUUAAUUAGGCCCCUAAUUAAUUAAUUAAUCCAUUUCAUUUUGCUUGAGUUCAUGGAAAAAAUAGAUAUAAUUUUUCUGUGGGUGCCAAUUCCAAAAAUCCUGAGCAUGUUUUUUAUUUAUUUAUUUUUACGUUAUUGUUCAAAUGUUUGGGGUCGGGAAGAUUUU